UACGAAGGGGACUAGCGUUGUUCGGAAUUACUGGGCGUAAAGCGCACGUAGGCCGACAUGUCAGUCAGGGGUGAAAUCCCGGGGCUCAACCUCGGAACUGCCUUUGAUACUGCAUGUCUAGAAUCCGGAAGAGGUGGGUGGAAUUCCUAGUGUAGAGGUGAAAUUCGUAGAUAUUAGGAAGAACACCGGUGGCGAAGGCGGCCCACUGGUCCGGUAUUGACGCUGAGGUGCGAAAGCGUGGGGAGCAAACAGG
rnacentral:rRNA from 1 species